AAGCGCUGGCAACCAGACUCGAGCGCGGUGUUCCCCCUGGCUUCUGCCUGGGUUAUUUCACCGUGACCGGGCCAUCAUCAGUUUCGGGGGUUGGUUAAAGGUUCUGGGAAUGUACCCAUCCUCUCGGGGAUGGACUUAUAGCCCAGGGCGUCAUGCAGCCUCCCGGGACUGAGGAACGCGCUUCGGCGAGGAUGAUGGCGUAAUGGUUGUCAGCGA
rnacentral:rRNA from 1 species